rnacentral:rRNA from 1 species
CCUACGGUGCGCUGCAGUGGGGAAUAUUGGACAAUGGGCGAAAGCCUGAUCCAGCCAUGCCGCGUGUGUGAAGAAGGCCUUCGGGUUGUAAAGCACUUUCAGUGGGGAAGAAAGCCUUGGGGCUAAUACCCUCGAGGAAGGACAUCACCCACAGAAGAAGCACCGGCUAACUCCGUGCCAGCAGCCGCGGUAAUACGGAGGGUGCGAGCGUUAAUCGGAAUUACUGGGCGUAAAGCGCGCGUAGGCGGUCUGAUAAGCCGGUUGUGAAAGCCCCGGGCUCAACCUGGGAACGGCAUCCGGAACUGUCAGGCUAGAGUGCAGGAGAGGAAGGUAGAAUUCCCGGUGUAGCGGUGAAAUGCGUAGAGAUCGGGAGGAAUACCAGUGGCGAAGGCGGCCUUCUGGACUGACACUGACGCUGAGGUGCGAAAGCGUGGGUAGCAAACAGGAUUAGAUACCCCUGUCGUC